rnacentral:sRNA from 1 species
CAAGUGGCGGCUGGUGCCCAGGUGAGUCCUGAGAGAGAGAGAAAUAGGCUGGGAUUUGGUCUGUAAGGACCAGAAGCAAGAGUGUCCUAAACCUGAGAGGGCAGGGGUCUUAAUGCCAGGGAUGAAAGAACCUUGGCCUCCAGUGAUCUAGCUGAGCAGCCAAGCCCAUCCUGACACUGACAGUGGGGCUUAAUGCUCUAAGUAUUCAGACACCAAAGUUAGUGCUGGGAUCUGAGGAAAGUAAAUUUUUUUUUUUUAAUUACUGGGUUUAUAGGGUCAGGCAGUAUCAGGGAUUGAAGUCAUUUGGGGAAAAUUGAGGUGGAUUUUGUAUGUGGGGGAAACCUCCUCUUUGUGUGUUACAUAUUUUUCUUCACCAUACCCUAACUAGGCAUUGCAGCUGUUUGAGUCCCAUGCAGGGCAUCUUGGCCCACAGCUCUUCAACAAGUUUGCACUGCCUUACAUCCGUGAUGUGGCCAAGCAAGUGAAGGCCAGGUUGCGGGAGGCAGGCCUGGCACCAGUGCCCAUGAUCAUCUUUGCUAAGGAUGGGCAUUUUGCCCUGGAGGAGCUGGCCCAAGCUGGCUAUGAGGUGGUUGGGCUUGACUGGACAGUGGCCCCAAAGAAAGCCCGGGAGUGUGUGGGGAAGACGGUGACAUUGCAGGGCAACCUGGACCCCUGUGCCUUGUAUGCAUCCGAGGAGGAGAUCGGGCAGUUGGUGAAGCAGAUGCUGGAUGACUUUGGACCACAUCGCUACAUUGCCAACCUGGGCCAUGGGCUUUAUCCUGACAUGGACCCAGAACAUGUGGGCGCCUUUGUGGAUGCUGUGCAUAAACACUCACGUCUGCUUCGACAGAACUGAGUGUAUACCUUUACCCUCAAGUACCACUAACACAGAUGAUUGAUCGUUUCCAGGACAAUAAAAGUUUCGGAGUUUAA